AACUGAAUUAAGAAGGAAAUACACCAGAAUGUUGAUGGCCGUUUUCUUCAGGUGACACUUAAAAAUUGAGUUGAUUAAAAAUGCACAGACCUAUGGCUGAAGCAAGGAUCUAUCAUUGAUAUAGCAGGGAAUGACGGCACCCAGGAAAGUGCUGAUUUUAAAAACUGAAUGUGAGAAAAAGAUUCAGCUUCUCUUGAUGAUGAAAGGCAUGUGAAACGUGGAACACAC
rnacentral:lncRNA from 1 species